AAAUGAAUCAUUAAAAAGAAUCAGUUCAAAAGAGUGAUUCAUCUGGAAACUGUGCAUCACUAUCUGAGAGUUUUCUCCUUUUGCACAGUCAGUCUCUCCAUCCCAGAUCCUGCCUCUGCUCGCGUUUCCACUCAUUUACUGUUCAACGAAGGCGGCAGAAUGGGAGCAAAGCUCAGUCAGAAGAAGAGUGAAGCAGAGACAGUAAGUCCAGCUGUAGAAGAGGGCUCACCUGUGGCUGAAAAUGCAGAGCAGAAAUCUUCUGAAGGUGAGGUUCAAGAAGAUAGCAUGCCUGCAGAAGAGAACACCGGUGGGCCUGGCUCUCCAAGCAGUGUUCUGCAGAGUCUUACACAAGCUGUAGGAGAAACGGUCAACGCAGUCACUGAACAGAUUGCUGCACCGGUGGAAGAUGUUGUAAACAAAGGUAUUGAAGCAGUGGAGUCCGCACUGGCAUCCGUCAGCCUGAUUGAGAAGGAACCUGAACCUGAACAGAAGUCUGAACCUGUAGAUCUCGCCGAUUCUGAUGUUCUCCAAGAACCCAGCCUCUUGGAUGACCUGCUGAAAUCUCCACUCUCAGAAGCCCUCAUUUCUGGAGUCACUAUGGUGAGUGAAGCCAUGACCAGUGGGAUGGUUGAAGACAAAAUUAGCAGUCCUGCACCAGCUGAGAACAAGGAUUUGUUGGAAUGUCUGGACAAGGUGGAGAUGCCCUCAGUGGACCCCCUGGACUGUAAACUGACCCAUGAAUUCACAAUCCCUAACUCAGAUCCAUCAUUCACUUUGGAAGAUAUGGGACAGAAUGCAGUUGAUGCAGUCAACUUUAUAUAAACCACUACACUCGCCUCUAGAAAAUGGCGGCUGGAAGAUCAUUACGUGCAAUUAUGUCGUAACAAUAUUCAAGAAAUUAAUGAACUUUUUUUUUUAUGAGGAUAAAUAAUUCAAAUGAAUUGAAGUUUAAAGAAUUUCAUAAUCCUUUUUUUAUCAGAAACAUUGCCUUAUUUGAAAGUUUGGACCACAGUUUAAAAAGCCUUGAUGUUUGAAGAUUAUUAUUAGUCAAUGGAGCCAGUUCUUUCAUUCUGAGUUUUACACAACCCUGUCAUGAAAGUGACAUGUAAAACCAGCCA